rnacentral:lncRNA from 1 species
CCUGGUACUUUUGAUAACUAUUUACACCACUGGGUCGAUGCCACUGCUGGUGGACGUUUCGUCCCCGAGGGUAUCACCAGCCCAGUAGUCAGCACUUCGGUGUUGACAUGAAUAUCAAUUAUAUGGUCAUUUUUAUAAAUUUUCUGUUUACAAAACUUUGAAUUUUUCGAAAAACUAAGGAUUUUCUUACCCCAGGAGUAGAUAACCUUAGCCGUAUUUGGCACAACUUUCUGGAAUUUUGGAUCCUCAAUGCUCUUCAACUUUGUAUUUAUUCGGC